UGGGGAAUCUUGCACAAUGGGCGGAAGCCUGAUGCAGCGACGCCGCGUGGGGGAUGACGGCCUUCGGGUUGUAAACUCCUUUCGCCAGGGACGAAGCCGUGAGGUGACGGUACCUGGAUAAGAAGCACCGGCUAACUACGUGCCAGCAGCCGCGGUAAUACGUAGGGUGCGAGCGUUGUCCGGAAUUACUGGGCGUAAAGAGCUCGUAGGUGGUUUGUCGCGUCGUCUGUGAAAUUCCGGGGCUUAACUCCGGGCGUGCAGGCGAUACGGGCAUAACUUGAGUGCUGUAGGGGAGACUGGAAUUCCUGGUGUAGCGGUGAAAUGCGCAGAUAUCAGGAGGAACACCGAUGGCGAAGGUAGGUCUCUGGGCAGUAACUGACGCUGAGGAGCGAAAGCAUGGGUAGCGAACAGG
rnacentral:rRNA from 1 species